UUUCUCUCUCUCUCUCUCUCCUUCUUCUUCUUCUUCUUCUCUUUCUUUCUCUGUCUGCAGCCUCUUCAGCAGCUCCAGUAUUCCCUCUUACCUCCCACUAUCAUGACUUCUGAAGCAACUGUCAUUGACAUUCUCCCUACAGCUCCCGGCCUCAGACAAAAAGGAUGCAUUUCAAGCUCUUCCAAUAACUUGCAGUGCUCCAUCCCUGUAUCCUCAGAAAUGGCCCUGAGUUUCAGUAGCUCAAAAAGACUCCAGCUGGAUAGUGAGAAGCCACUGCUUCCUUGCAAGAACCUCCCCAAAUUUCUCUAACCAUGUGAAGACAUGCUUGAUUCCCCUUCACCUUCACCAUGAUUGUUCUAGGAGAGUAACAAAAAGAAGGAAGAUUCAGUAGGAAAGGAGAGCAAUGAAGAAGCCAAGAAAGAGACAAGGAACCCUGGAAAGAGAGUCAGCAAAGAGAGAAGUAGAAACAUUAAUUUCAUGUGAAGAAACUGAAGACUGGAAAGGUCAAUGUCUUAGCCAGAGCCAAGUGGCUAAUUCAGAGUUUAAUACACAUUUGAUCUCAAACCCAUAAACAUUCCCCUUUCAACGGAGCCUGCCUCUCUGAAAUACUGGUUCUGUCAU